rnacentral:lncRNA from 1 species
AGGGGGUAGGAUUGGACCUGAGAGUGCAGCCCAUCAGACCAGGAAACAUCUGGAUCAGAAACAAUGCUAAGAUCCAGAUGUAGAACUCUCAGCUACCUGUCCAACACCAUGUCUGCCUGAGUGCCACCAUGCUUCUCGCCAUGAUGAGAAUGGACUAAGCCUCUGAACUAAUGUUCUUCCAUCUCUGCUUAACUUGACCACAUGAGUCAGACUCCUCCAGACCUGUGGACAGGCAAGGACAAGACUAAGGUCCUUGAGCUGCAAUGCUGAACCCCAUCUUGAGAAGAGGAACUUUGCCACAACAGUUCCCUCUGCAACAUGUUUCUGUAGACAGCAAGCUGGCUCCUGAAGUAACUCCUGCUAAUAUAGAACUUCUGUACUUUGGUUUUCAAUUUC